UAUAUAUAUAUAUAUAUAUAAAUAAAUAUACAGGGUGACUGGUGAAUUACUAUCAAUAUUUGAGGACGUGUUAUUUGAGGAUCAUAUAUGACGAAAAAAAAUUACAUAUAAAAUAAAUAUUCAUAAACUUCUAAAUAAAGUUAACCAACAGUUAUCUCGCUAAUUACGCGUCGUCUGGACGCCCUAGCUGCGCAGUCGUCACAAAGCAGGUGUGUAUAGGUACAUUUAGUUAUCGCGCGGUCGUUUACCUACGUCCAAACACCGCCAAGUGUUAACAGGGUAGCAGGCUACUUUUGAUAAACCAGUAUGAUCCAAUCCCCCUUCAUACUUUAAUUUUAGCUUAGGACAGGCAAAAAUACCAAAAUAAGAUUAGGCCGACCCCUUCCCCUUGAUAAUUUGAUAAAUAUUAAUUUAUUACGUAAGAAUCUAAACGAAAAAAUUAAUACACGUUUGGUUUGUUUCAAUGUUUAUUUUUAUUUUUACUUUAAGUAGGUACUAAUAAUUUUUAUUUUUUGGUAGUAAUAAACUUUGGUUUUAAUUAUGAUCUUUACCGACAUAAGAUUUUCAGUCCAGAGGCUUAACAAAAAAAAAAAAAAAAACUACAUAUUCAACUACAAUAUUAAAAUUUAUCAA
rnacentral:misc_RNA from 1 species